rnacentral:rRNA from 1 species
GACGAACUUUGGCGGCGUGCUUAACACAUGCAAGUCGAACGGAAAGGCCCUGCUUUUGUGGGGUGCUCGAGUGGCGAACGGGUGAGUAACACGUGAGUAACCUGCCCUUGACUUUGGGAUAACUUCAGGAAACUGGGGCUAAUACCGGAUAGGAGCUCCUGCUGCAUGGUGGGGGUUGGAAAGUUUCGGCGGUUGGGGAUGGACUCGCGGCUUAUCAGCUUGUUGGUGGGGUAGUGGCUUACCAAGGCUUUGACGGGUAGCCGGCCUGAGAGGGUGACCGGCCACAUUGGGACUGAGAUACGGCCCAGACUCCUACGGGAGGCAGCAGUGGGGAAUAUUGCACAAUGGGCGGAAGCCUGAUGCAGCAACGCCGCGUGCGGGAUGACGGCCUUCGGGUUGUAAACCGCUUUCGCCUGUGACGAAGCGUGAGUGACGGUAAUGGGUAAAGAAGCACCGGCUAACUACGUGCCAGCAGCCGCGGUGAUACGUAGGGUGCGAGCGUUGUCCGGAUUUAUUGGGCGUAAAGGGCUCGUAGGUGGUUGAUCGCGUCGGAAGUGUAAUCUUGGGGCUUAACCCUGAGCGUGCUUUCGAUACGGGUUGACUUGAGGAAGGUAGGGGAGAAUGGAAUUCCUGGUGGAGCGGUGGAAUGCGCAGAUAUCAGGAGGAACACCAGUGGCGAAGGCGGUUCUCUGGGCCUUUCCUGACGCUGAGGAGCGAAAGCGUGGGGAGCGAACAGGCUUAGAUAUCCUGGUAGUCCACGCUGUAAACGGUGGGUACUAGGUGUGGGGUCCAUUCCACGGGUUCCGUGCCGUAGCUAACGCUUUAAGUACCCCGCCUGGGGAGUACGGCCGCAAGGCUAAAACUCAAAGGAAUUGACGGGGCCCCGCACAAGCGGCGGAGCAUGCGGAUUAAUUCGAUGCAACGCGUAGAACCUUACCUGGGUUUGACAUGGAUCGGGAGUGCUCAGAGAUGGGUGUGCCUCUUUUGGGGUCGGUUCACAGGUGGUGCAUGGCUGUCGUCAGCUCGUGUCGUGAGAUGUUGGGUUAAGUCCCGCAACGAGCGCAACCCUUGUUCACUGUUGCCAGCACGUUAUGGUGGGGACUCAGUGGAGACCGCCGGGGUCAACUCGGAGGAAGGUGGGGAUGACGUCAAGUCAUCAUGCCCCUUAUGUCCAGGGCUUCACGCAUGCUACAAUGGCUGGUACAGAGAGUGGCGAGCCUGCGAGGGUGAGCGAAUCUCGGAAAGCCGGUCUCAGUUCGGAUUGGGGUCUGCAACUCGACCUCAUGAAGUCGGAGUCGCUAGUAAUCGCAAAUCAGCAACGCUGCGUCGAAUACCGUUCCCGGGGCUU